GGUGUGAUGUAGGUUUAUGUAAACUGAAGAUGAUGAAGGUGUGAUGUAGGUUUAUGUAAACUGAAGAUGAUGAAGGUGUGAUGUAGGUUUAUGUAAACUGAAGGUGAUAAAGGUGUGAUGUAGGUUUAUGUAAACUGAAGGUGAUAAAGGUGUGUGGUAGGUUUAUGUAAACUGAAGAUGAUGAAGGUGUGAUGUAGGUUUAAGUAAACUGAAGAUGAUGAAGGUGUGAUGUAGGUUUAUGUAAACUGAAGGUGAUUAAAGCGUGAUGUAGGUUAUAUAAAUUGAAGGUGAUGAAGGUGUGAUGUAGGUUUAUGUAAAUUGAAGAUGAUAAAGGUGUGAUGUAGGUUUAUGUAAAUUGAAGGUGUGAUAUAGGAUUAUGUAAAUUGAAGGUGAUAUGGGUGUAAAAGUCAGUAUCUGAUUUUAAAUCUUAAUGCUGAUAAUGGUGGUGAAGAUGAUGGCACAGCUGAAACACAGACUAUUUUAAGGACUGUGCCAUAUUUUUAGUAAAGCAAAUUUAUUGUGGAACAAUUCAACUUCGUAUGUUCAUUUUUUAAUAUUUUAUGUUCUUGCUUUCUCAGCAGUUUAAACUGUACAUUAGAACACUGCCUUGUUUUGUCAGAUUACUACUAGAUGUAAACUGUAUAUCAAAACACUGCCUUGUUUUGUCAGAUUACUACUAGAUGUAAACUGUACAUCAAAACACUGCCU